UUGAUCAUGUCAGAGCUUUACUAAACUUACAGGGAGAAAGAGGCAGUCCCACUAAUGGAUAAGAUUGGUUCUGCCCACCUGCUCGUUACUUUAUAUAUUAAGCUUUGAUGGGGGAGAGAGAAUAGAGACUGCAAUUCAGCAAGUUUAGAGAGAGAUUCAAAUCAGCCGGUUUUCUUAGAGAACGAUGAAGAAAGUGGAGGUGUUUUUUUUGGUGGCUCUGUUAAUGCUGUCUGUGCAAACAACGGGGAGAGCGGAUGCACCUAUUUGGUGCUAUGAUGCCUGUACCACUGGAUGUGUUUUUCGGAGGAAUGCACGCCUACGAGCUCGCUGCAAGCAAAAGUGCAGAAUCGAAUGCGACAUUGGUGCUCGUGGUUGAUGAAGGCGGUUCACUUAUCAAUAAUCAUGAACUUUUUUUCUUUUUUAUCUCUUUGUAUUUAAACUUUCUUUGGAUGCGGAAAUCGAUCUUGGUUUGAGGUGGAGAAAGAAGCACAUGUAAGUAAGAGUGGAUAAUGGUUCGGAAUUAGUGGUUCCAGGAUAUUUUGAAGGAAUCAAUAAGUGGUUAAAAGAA